CGACGGGACUGUUUCAAGAGUUGAGUUGUGUUGAAAAUUUAAUUUUUUCGUUUCAUCGAUUUUUUUUUUAUAAUUAUUAUUUAUUUGUUUGGUUUAUUAAUUUUAUAUUUUAUUGUUUUUUAUUAUUUAUUUAUUCAUUAUUAUUAAUUUUAUUUCAUUGGAAGAGGUUGAGAGAGCAAAAUUUAUAUUAGAAACUCAAAUUGAUUCUUUUUGGUUAGUUAGAGAAAGGUUUUUGCCUAGUAUAAUACGCUAAAUUGAGAGUAAAGUUGUUAGACACUGAUUUUCGUAACUUAGAAGAGUAACUGUUAAAGCAAAAUGAAUUUUACGCUAAUAACACGUGAGCAAGUGAGAUACUACAAACUUUUACGUUUACUAAAUUUGAUUGGGGUAUGAAUAUGGAAAUGAGAGAGAACGUGGUUCAAUAUAUGCUAGAAUGAUAUAGAUGGAAAAGAAAGAGAGCGAAAUAGGUAGUUAGAGUAGAGAGCGACAAAUGAGUAUACGAAUGAAUUCUACAUGAGUAUAUUUACGAUUUAAGCGUAUGAUAAAUGAGUACGACGAGUAUUGUAGAUGUUGGAAAUGAGCAUGUUUUAGACUGAGCAUUGUACCUACGUAUAUUUGAGUAAGUUGAUGACUUGGCACUACUUCGGAAAUGCAUAUAGUUAACACCAGCGAUAACGGUAAAAUCGUAUAGGUAAAUGUUUGUACUAAGUUGUAUGAGUGGCAGGCGGCGUAGAGCGCGUCAAAUAGGUUUUCAACAACAAUUAUUAUGAGUAUGAGCGCAUACAAAAAUUAUUUUUUAAGGUUAUGUGAGCUCAAUUUUAAUUGUUUAUAUUAUAUUUAUGUUAUGUGAGUUUUUUGGGUUGUUAAAGUGGAAGUCUAAUAUGGCUACAUAGAAAUUAUAUUUUUUUCAAAUAUACAAGUAUUUUAAAAAAUUUUAACACUUACAUACACAUUUUGCGUUUAUUUAAGGGUUAACUAAAUUUUAGUGUAGCGCUUGUUGAUCAUCUCAGCAGUUUUUGUUGUUGUAUUUAAUAACUUGUUUUUAUAAAAAUUAUUUUUAUUACAGUUACUGUUUGCUUUGUUAGUGCAUAAAAAUACGCAACGUGCUUAACUCUUCUGAAUAUUUUUCAUUAAUUAAUGUAAUUAAUAAGAAAAUUGCACGCAAAUUACUGAAUCAUAACAUGCAAAUAGUAUAGUCAGUAAGGAAGAAAAUUCUAACAAAGAAAUACUUGUUUUAUAUCAUAAAAAUGGAAAUAGAAAUAAGAAAAUACACCAAAAUAAUAGAACAUAUAAUUGAAAAUUGUGAUUUACAUAUAAAAAAUGUCUAACGGAAGAAGAAAUUUCGCUUAUUAUAGAAUAUUUAGAGUUAGACGAAUGGUCAUCCCGAUUUGGCCAGGACAGUCUGGAUUCCGAGUUAAGCGUUCCGGUCGUCCCGGGCUUAAAAAUUAAAAAAAGAAUGAAUUGAAUAAAAUUGUGUUGCUCUCUCACCUAUUAUAUUUCGCGAUUUUCAGUGAAUUAUAAUAUGGAAAAAAUCAAUGACUAAAAAAAAAAACCGUACUGGUUUUUGCCGAAACAAAUAUGGUCAUCUAAAUUAAGAGAAUCCGAAAUUUUGGAAUUUAUGAAAUGGUUAUUUACAGCCGGAUACUGUGUUGCUUUUAUCGAUAGUGGAACACUAGGAAGAAUUUGUAAUUCUACCAUAUAGAAAUAUUUCGAUGACGAAAAAGGAUAUACCAUAUAUGUGUGCUAUAUGUCUUGACACUGUAGUAUAUUACUUGGGUUCCGCUAAAACGCAUUUGUCGGAAAAUAUAUUGCAUAAAGCUACGUCUAAUUAGCUGACGGACUGGAGCUUUGUGCAGCUUUAUAGCUAAGAGGUUAGGUGGAUCUAGCACCUUGAUAUAAAAAAUAUUUCGGCCAACUAAAAUAGAGUUCGGAGAAUGCAGUAAAAGAGAGGAAAACAUUUUUAUCUUUACAGACAACGAUUUCUAUUAAAUAAUCAAAAUUAUAUACAAAGUACCAUAUAAAAUGAAGUUUUCAGGCAAAUUUCGCCACUACCGCUUAAUCAUUUUGCUUGCGACGGCGUUGCCAACUUCGCUUACUCACUUCGUACGUAUAUUAAAUAGGUACAUAUGCCUAACGUUUAACGUUCUACGUACUAAUACAUAUGCAUGUCUGAAUGGUUUAUAUGUAUGCGCAUAAUGUGCUGUACUACAUACACAAAAACUUUAAAGUUUGUUGCAAUGUUCUAACUGCGACUGGAGUGCAGGGUAUUUUUAAUCAUAAUCAGGACGUUUAAAUGGAAAAAUACAAACUAUGCCCGAAUUUGUGGAAAUUCUUCAUUUACAUAUAAUAUAUAUAUAUAUAUCUAUAUUAACUAAUUUCAAUUUUCAACUUUAGACACUAAAAAAUUUAAUUUUACUAAGCGUUUCUUGCAUUUUUAAUUAUAUUAUAUUAGUAUACUUAUGAACGUCGUUUUCAAUAAUUAUUAUUAAUAUUAUAUAUUCUCAACUGAUAUGUUUAAAGAGUAACUAAAUUAAUCAAAAGAUCACUCAAACUACUACUAAUAUCUAAACUUUUUUAAACUAAAUACAAAGUAAGUAUGUUUUGGGUAGUUUGAGGGUAGCUAUUUAGCUAUGUUUCUUUUACACAUAACCAAAAAUUUUGGACGGCAAUGAAUUGAAAUAAAUAUUAUUAUAAAUAUUCAAUGUGCAGCUACAUAAA